UACGUAGGUGGCAAGCGUUGUCCGGAUUUACUGGGCGUAAAGAGCGCGCAAGCGGUCGUCCAAGUCGCGUGUGAAAGCCCCCGGCUCAACUGGGGAGGGUCACGCGAUACUGGUCGACUCGAAGGCAGGAGAGGGUAGUGGAAUUCCCGGUGUAGUGGUGAAAUGCGUAGAUAUCGGGAGGAACACCAGUGGCGAAGGCGACUACCUGGCCUGUUUCUUGACGCUGAGGCGCGAAAGCUAGGGGAGCAAACAGG
rnacentral:rRNA from 1 species